UAGUGCAGAAAUUUGGUCCCCAACACUACAAAUUCAUUCCUUUUUGGCUUUAUUUAUUCAACACAAGGUAAAUACAUUGCAUAUUUACUCAUUCCUUUUUGCGAAACCCUUUUUUUAUGUGUCUAAUUGAAUUGGUUGUUCUGAGAAGAAUUAUAUUCAGAUCUGGUUGAUUCUACAUAGUUGGGCUUUGUGGAUUUUGUUCUCUAGCAGAAGAAAGGCAAAAAGAGCAGCAAAGGCAAUUUCGUAGAUUUUCAAAUAAAAUUACGAUGCAAUUACCUCAAUAGCAGCAAAACACAAACAAGGAAACAACUUCACAUCCACAGAAGCACCAAUCUUUACUCGAUCGAAAAGCCGAAGAAGAAACAACGAAAGAGUUAGCGGCACCAAUCUUUGGUCGAUCGAAAAGCCGAACAAGGAACAACGAAAGAUGAAAUAAAAUUACGAUGCAAUUCCUUGAUAGCAGCAAAACACAAAGAAGGAAAGAACUUCAAAUCCGCAGAAACACCAAUCUUUGGUCGAUCAAAAAGCCGAACAGGGAAUAACGAGCGGCAGAAUUGGAUAAGGAAGAUAGCCAAGCGGCUGUAUGUUGUAAGAACCAGGCAAAAUUAGAGGUUUGAUAGCAGCGAAACACAGACAAGAAACAAACUUCAAACCGGCAGAAACAUCAACCUUUGCUCGAUGAAAUUAUCAGGAGAAAAGCCAAAGAGGAAAGAAAGAAAAAUUUAGAGGUGGAAAUGGAUAAGGAACAUAGUGAGGCGACUCUCUAUAAUUGGAUUAAAGAAGAGAAGCUGAGGCAGUGAGAGUUAUAAUUCAUCAGAAUUAUGAUAAUAUCUUUUUUUUUCCUCAAACAGACAUGUCGACGAUGCCAUGUUUCCUUGAGCAGCCACACCUUAUUGUAUAGUAGAAAGAGGGAGUUUUGGAACGACCAGUGGAAAAUCCGUAAUUAAGCACAAUAUGCAUGGAUGUUACUGAGCCAAUACUGAUUGACAACAACAACAAGAAGAUACUGGUGUAUUCCAACAAAAUGGAGUAUAUUUUUCUGAAGAUGUUGUCUUCAGCGAAACCCGCUAAUUCUCUUCUUGAUUUGGUCAUCGUCAUCUAUUUUUCUCCUCGCUUGUCAAUUUCGCUAUUCUUCUCAGUUAUUGGCACUUUUUCCUCUCAACUUGUGACAAAGAUGAUUUAGGAGACUGAGUAGGUGGAGUCAAAUCACAUUUUCGCUAUUUACUGAUCAAGCUCCUCUAUGACAGGUGUACAGUCUUGCAAUAAUCGAGGAGGAGGAUAAGGAGAAGAUUAUGCUGCAUAAAACACACAUCAUUGAGAGGCUCCUUGGGUUUUGGUAAGGAAGCACUGCAGUCUCUUUCAGGCAAAAUUGGAUCAUAGGUCCCUAUAGACAAAGGGCACUUCUGACAUAAGAGGAAAAGAAAGUGCCUUAUAAGAUUGUCUUGAUCAAUGUUAGUGACAAGCCCAAAUGGUUCUUGGAGGUGAACCCAGAAGGGAAAGUUUCAGUGAUCAAUUUUGGUGAUAAAUGGAUCCCUGAUUCCGAUGUCACUGUUGGGCUUCUUGAAGAGAAAUAUCCAAAUCCCUCUCUCAUUGCUCCCCCUGAAUUUUCCUCUAUGUAUGUUUUCUUCCUACUCCAUCUGUUUCAAAUUUUUCUAUAUUGUUUACAUUUCUCUGAACCUCAACUAACUCCAACGGAUACCUGCCAUUUGCUCCAACACCACGAUCACAGACCAUGUAAUUUGUCCACCAAGGCUUGGAGAGGUAGGAAGAAGUGAGAGUAGCAGCUUGAUUUCAACAUGGUUGGUUAAAGUUAUUAAAUAUGUAUUCUAGGGUAUUUUAGACUUUAUAAAUGCUAAAGAAAAUUAUGACGUGUUAAUCAUAAAUUUAGCCAUCAGAACAGUUGGCUAUCAAGAAUUUUCUUCCAUAUCCAUUAUCUUUUUUUUUUUUUUCUGUUCUUCUCUUAAUAGUUUUAGUUUGGACCACGUUCUUCCACUCAGUUUUUCAUUUUGUUAGUAAUUGUUUUUGUAUAAUUUUUUUUAAUUUGCUUGUGGCUUUAAAAGUUAGCGAUGCCAAAAGCAAGGCCCAUGAAAUCGUGGGUGGUGAAAGGAUAUUCUCAAUAAGUAACAAGCCCAAAAGGUAAUGUUUUCUACUCCUACAACUAUGUAGUAAGCUGCUUCGGUUCGAUUCGAUUUAAUCUAUAACCUUAUGGUUGUAAUGGACUCAACAGUGAUAUGUCUGUUCUAAUUUAAUCUUUUAUUGUUCUAAUUUCACGGUUCAGAUUUGAAGAUUGAAACAAUUGAAGUUUGAUUGUGAAUUUAGGCAUAGAAUUCAAAAGAUGCCAACAUAAAAUUGCCAUGUACGAAAUGUUUCUUUCUUUCGUUUUUUAUGGUUGAUUAAAACUUUCAAGUUCUUUUAUAUUAUUGUGAUGUUGUGAAUAUGUGUAUACAUAGAUGUUUUUUACUGCAUUUUUGUUUCUGAAAUUCCUUUUGCAUGGAUUGUGUUCUCAUUCGUGAUUUUGAAGGCCAUAUUUGAAAUAGAAAAGUCAUGUGAAUUGGAUCGUAACAGUUAUUUUUUUACUAUAAAAAAAUGGUAAGUUAUUCCAUGAUCUUAAAGAUGUUUUCUGUUGUCUCGGAUGGCACACUACUGCCACCUAUGGUGUGUGCUCCAAAACUGGAGGUCCUUUUGGUACUAUGAGGUUCAAAGCUAAACAAUCACAUGGUGCAAACAAUGGUAUCGACAUUGCUAUCAGACUCUUGGAGUCCAUUAGGGAGCAGUUUCUCACCCUCUCCUAUGCUGAUUUUCAUCAGUAUGUACUCUUGUAUUAAUCGUUAUGUUUGGUAUUACUUUACUACUUCAGAAAAGGGUUGUUUCGACAUGUUUGUUUUAAGUAAUUUAAUUCAAAGCUGAGGGCAUAUUCGUAUUGUAGAGCUUUAUAAUUUUCUUACGUGUCUCUUGAGUAACACGUGUAUGGCUUCUACUUUAAUUCAUCUCAUUCACCGCUCCUUAUCUCUAA